UGGAGGAGAAGGCAGGUGGUAGAGCACCAGGACCCAUAAAAAGAGUAGCCCAGGGCGGGAAGGGGUCCCCUGGAGGAAUGGGAGAAAGAGUACCUGGGAUAUCUAGCAUGUAGUGCCCGGAGCAGAGCGAUGGAGAGGUGGAUGCCCAGCAGCUGAGUGGAUCACAGCUGGAGAAUCAGAGCCACAGAGCCAGAGAGGUCGCAGCACCAGUGUGAGGAGAAAGCCGGAGACCCUGUCCAGGGAGAAGGGCUGGCCGCGUCAAUGCCAGCAGGGACGGAACGUGGGGAAGUGCCGCCGCUGUCCAGAGACCUGGAUCCCGAGGAGCGGGCGGCAUGUGAUAGUCGUGCACGCACCGCGAAGGACGACCCCGGGAAGAAGACCCCAGCAAGGACCUCUGGCAGCCUGACUGGAGAGCACCGCGGCUGGAGAAGAGAGACCCCGUGAUGUCGCAGGGACUGGAACCGGAGCAGACGAGGAUACCGCGAUCGGGAGGAGACUUCUGGACAACAGCCGCCUUAACAAGAAGCGCAUCCCCGUUGCGGUGAUCUGCAUCCUGGGUGGCGCCGUAGACCAAGACUAUCUGAGGUGGCAGAAGCGCCGCAGCUUGUGCUUUUUCAUCAUUUUCCAUUCAUGUGGACUACGAAUAGUAACCUGUGCGAGGGCAGCGGUAGUGGAGUGAGGCACCAUUCUCGAAGCGUGGAAAACAUCUGGAUGUGAGCUUUGUCUGUGCGAGUUUUCGGGAUUGCAGGAAACAUUACGAAAGAGACACAGCACAGACAGGCCACAACCCACACUGCCAAGAGAUGCAGAUGCUGGUGAUGCAGGUCCUUCUUCAUCAAACACCCCUCCACUAAGACGACCAUCACAGGGCUCGGAUAGUCUCCAUAAGAUGGGUACCAAGAGACGCCGUGUUGAGGCGGAAUAUCCACCCGCAUCCUCACCACCACAACGGCGCAUCUCUACAGUGUCGUCCCAGCCACCACAAGCCAUUUUGGCCAGUCCACAAAGCGAGGAACCACAAUCCCCUCAGCUGUCUGAACCACCCAUCAUGCCCGAGGAUACCCAACACCACCCCAGCCACAAAUGGGCCCAGAGUUUUGGUCCAGUUGGGCCACACAACAGGCGCAACACUAUACCUGUCUGAACACCCACAGCCAAUACCUUGCCAGUCUGCCCCAUCAUCUGCCUAGACUCAGUCGGAACUCAGGCAGAUUGAUAGUUCAAGUUGGCAGAGUAGCAAAUUCUAUGGAGCAGAUGAGGGCAGACAACAGCCAAAUGCACGCAAAUUUACAAAGAAUCAUGGAUGACCAACAGCGGCAGCAACAAGCUCUCAUACAAAUUAUACAACAUAACCAAUUAAUAAACGAAAGCCUCUCCCGAAUCAUUGCCAACAACACUGCCGCAACUACACAACUCACAGCAAGCCUCAACAACCUGAGCCAAAGCCUAAAUGUGUUGGCAUUCCACCAACUAAUCUCAAGCUCAGGAACAACCACACCAAGCCAGACCCCAGUUACCUCCCCAGUUAGACGAUCCAGCAGAACCAGGACCAAUGAACCAUCCCAAUCCUCUGCACCCAGCAAACAAAAAACAAAGAAAUGAUCAAGGCUGCAGCAACAACUACAGUAUGUUAUUAGAAAAUUACUAAUUAUCUAAUUGAUUCCCUCAAAAUGCCUGAGUUUAAGGUAAUAAAUUAAUCAUACGCAAUAUGUGUAAUGUUUCA